GGAAGUAUGAUGAAGGAAGAGAGACAAGGAUGUUUGCAAGAGACUAUGAGGCUUGUCCCAGGAAUUGAAACUGGGGAGAAGGAAAGGGAAGAACAGGAGGGGGCAGUGGGAGACAGCAGAAGAUAGCAGGAUCACUGGCCUGUGGGCUGAGAGGGGUUUGGAGCCAGGUCAUGAGGACACUCAGAUAGCCUGUAGAGACCCACAUGGGGAAGAACUGAGGGUAGUCCAUUAUGCAGCAAUAGAUAACUAAGACAGGAUGUGCCUAGAGAAUUUGCUCUAGGACACAGUCCCAGUUCCCAGGGCAUGGGUCCUGGUGUCUCAGCUGCAUACCAAGCCUGUGGGCUGAGAGGGGUUUGGAGCCAGGUACCAAAGCAUUCAUGAGGGACAUUGAUGAGGUUAGAAUGAGGUCUCUCCAUGCAGGCUGGGCCAGAAUUCCUAUGGCAGUUGCUUCCUGUUAAGUCCAGGUGGCCUCAUCCUGAGCAGGUGCAGCCCACUCCUCAGCCAAGGACAGUGGGACAUCUCAGGCUUCCCUGCAAACACUUUCCUCUCCAGGGCCUUCCCCACAGAUUCCAGCUGUGCUACUGUCCCCAGUUCAGUGGGGUGCUGCACACUGGUGCUCUGGCUGGGCUCCACCUUCUGCACAUAUAUUUUCUUUUAUUUUCUUUUCUUUUUUAAUUUUAUUGUACUUUAAGUUCCAGGAUGCAUGUGCAGAAUGUGCAAGUUUGUUACGUAGGUAAACGUGCGCCACGGUGGUUUGCUGCACCUAGAUUUGCUUUUUGUUUUUUAUUUUUUGAGACAGAGUCUCUGUCACCCAGGCUGGAGUGUAGUGGCGUGAUCAUAGCUCACUGCAGCCUUGAACUCCCAGGCUCAAGCAAUCCUCCUGCCUCGGCCUCUGGAGUAGCUAGGACUACAGGCAUACGCCACCAUGCUCAGCUAAUUUUUAAAUUUUUGUAGAGAUGAGGUCUCCUUAUGUUGCCCAGGUUGGUCUCCAACUCGGGUUCAAGCCAUCCACCUGCCUGGGCCUCCCAGAGUGCUGGGAUUACAGGCAGGAGCUACUGUGCCCAGCCAGAUUUGCUUUUUAGAUCCUUCUACAUUUGUGGGGAAACUGGUGAACUCUGAAUUGACCCUGGUGAUCAGUUAAUAGUAAGGGACCAGUGUUGGUUUCCACCAAGCUACCCUGGAAAUGUAAGAUGUUACCAUUAGGGGAAACCAGGUUGGGGGACUCCCUAUGAUCUUCGCAGCUUUUCAGUAAAUCUAAAAUUAUUGCAGUAAAAAACAGUAAAACAUCUGGCUGGCUGGCAGAAGGGGAGGCAGCCUCUGUCCUGCGUGGCUGUCCCAGACUGGCUGGGGUGGCACUCUGGCUGUCCCUGGUCAGUCCCUAACUCAGGCUGCCAAAGACGGUCGCCAGUCUAGGGAAGAAGCGGCCCAACGCGCUCCCCAAAGACGUCGCUGCAGGCACAGGGUUUAGGAAGAACUUUUAUUUUCUUCCUUCUGCUGCUGUGGGUUUUAAUUUCCUGCCAUUUUCAUAAUUAAAAAAAGAAGUGCUAUUUUAGCACGAAACAAUGUUUCUUUAGCCAAAGCCAGAGUGAGUGGGCAGCAAUGGCCGCGCGCCCUGCUCUGGGUGGUCCCGACCCCGGGGAAGUCCCUGUGCAGAAC
rnacentral:lncRNA from 1 species